rnacentral:lncRNA from 1 species
GCCGAGUGUCGUUCUUCAAUAAACUGCACACGUUCUGCAGUUCCACGGCUCCGCUGGCAGGUACAGCAGCAGAGAGAUGAAGAGACUAGAGAUGAAAAUAAAAUUAUGGUCAGAGUGAUGUGGGUGUGUGGACAGGAAGGCAAGUACAGGUACGAAAAAAAAAGCAGACGAAAUCUGCGUACGGAAGUGGGAGGGAGAAGAGAGGAAUAGGCGGCACACCUUGAAUAGAAAAAAAGAAAAAAUGUGCAGAUGAACAAUCAAAAACGGACAAAAGGCCAUCAGCACUCAGAUUCUCCUGUAGGUAAGAUCAUUUUCAUUGUAUUACACUGUGGUUGAACUGUUUUAUGUCCUUGUGGCCAUGAUUGUGAUUGUAAUGUGAAGAAGUGAUAAACACUGCCGAUGUAACUCGGAGACUGCAUACGUGACAAGAUACAUGACUCAAAAUACAUUUAGAUAUUAAAAAAGUGUGUGUGUGUGUGUGUGUGCAUAUAUAUGUGUGUGUGUGUGUGUAUAUGUGUAUAUGUGUGUGUAUAUGUGUGUGUGUGUGUGUGUGUGUGUGUGUGUGUGUGUGUGUGUGUGUGUGUGUGUGUAUAUAUAUAUAUACACACAUAUAUGUGCUUUUGGUGUUUUCCGUUUUCUUGUUUACAAGAAAGUGAUGGAUCUGCUCUCCAUGAUUUUACUGACGCUCAUACCUCACUUGUCCUUCAGUUAUCCUGUGCGCCAGAUCGGUACACUCUGUGACCCAGGGUACCGCCUGGCGAAAGGCCGUUCCUGUGUGGCCUGUGGUCCGAACACAUACACGGAUAAAAGAAAUGCGGAGCUUCUCUGCUUUCGCUGCUCAAGAGACUGCAAAGCAGAAUUUAACAUGGACGUUGAGGAGAAGUGCACCAGCGUGUCAGAUGUGAAGUGUCGCUGUAAGCCUGGGUACGAAUGCACCAGAAGGGACAGCUCUAACAAGUGUGACUUGUGCGAAAAGCCUAGAAACGUGGGUGUUCCAGGUAUGACAUCAGCAGUUCCACCAUGUGGCUUUGGGCUUUACUUCAGCUCCAGAUUGGGACGCUGUGAGAAUCACAUAGACUGUGUCGCUCAGGGCCUUACUAUCAACCAAGCUGGAAACUCCACCCACAACACUAUCUGUGGUGGACGACAAAAUAUCUCAGCUGAUUCCAGGAAUCAUUGGCUGUUGGGGGGUUUGGUGCUCGGAGUUGGGGUGUUCAGCCUCAUAUUCCUGAUCUCCUCACGCAGUCGAGGAGAAGAAGUCUGUUUCAAAUUGAUGAAGUGGUUCACACGAAGACCUCAGACGGGAGAGGUUAAAGUGUCACCUCAGGAAAAAGCACAGUGCUGCCAAGAGACACAGUCCCAUUCAUGCUCUUCAGCUGCUUCUGACCACGGUGCAGACAGGCCGGCUCAUAGACUCUUCAACACAGAGCCUGCUCCAUCUCCACCAGGAGCUUUAGGUCCACUCCACAUCUACCAGCCUGGCACCAUCUUUGUCAGCCUGCUGAAUCAGUUUGAAUCCGUUUUGGCUGGCGGCGGAGGAGAGAGGGCCGAAAGAGGACGGGAUGGACGGCAGGGCCAGACGAGUGACUGCAGCUCUCCGUCUUCUCCUACUCCGCUGUCCGAGGAGGAGAGGAGCAGAGAAGGCGAAUUCAUAUUUUUCCCCUCCCAAGAACAAGGGAAAGAGAGCCACAUGUCCAAAGAAGAAGGAGACUGAGUCAGGGUGAUAUAGCAGAGUGAGAUUGACGUGAGAUCUGAAAGACGAGUAACUAGAUGAAAAACUGCAGUAUAUCAUCAGGAGACUGAAGAAAUGCACAAUUCUUCACCGACCACCUGUGCCUGACGUGCUAAUGAUAUUAGCAUGUAUUUGCACUGCACAGGGAUUUUUCUUUUGGAAAUUAUUCCACUUCACACCUAAACAUUUACGGCAUUUAUCAGAUGUCCUUAUUCAGAGAGUCUUGCGAUCAGUAGUGACAGGGACAGUCCCCCUGGAGUGUCCUGCUCAGGGACACAAUGGUAGCAAGUGGGGUUUGAACUUGUGACUUUGUGGUCUUCUGGAUUGUAGGCGAGUGUGUUACCCACUAGGCCACUACCAACCUAGCGAAGAUACAAGAGGUCAUGUAGUGUGUGGGAGAGCCGACAUCGUGUUUACUGCUCGAUUCACAGACUGCCUGUUUAGAAAUGGGGAGGACUUCAAUAUGACUGAUGAGGCUGCAAUAUGCCAGUGCAAUAUGCCAGUGAUGCAGGGUGCUCCAGGUGCACACUGGGAUUGCGAGACAGAGCAGGCUGCUAACUUCAGUUAAAAUCAUCUAUGCCGAUGUAUACCAAUAUAAUGGUAAUUCGGUUUUAGUUGUUAGUUUCAGUGUUGUUUUAAACACCAUUGACUGUAUGGAGACACAAAUGAGCAGUGAGUUACAGGGCGGAGUUUGUGCCGCAGGACCAUUCUGGAAAUGCGAAAUAAAACACACUAUAAUGCAUGGCA